rnacentral:misc_RNA from 1 species
GGCAAAAGCUGGCAAAGAAAGUGUGUAGCAUUUUCAUGGAGUUUUUUCCCAUGAAGUCAAUGAAGAGGGUUCAAAACGUUGGCAUUUUCUGAUCUGUGGAAUAUCUUUUAGGUUGUUGUUUUUUUUGUAACUUGUUGAGGAAUUGAAGUAUCCAAAGUUCAAUCUUGUUGAAUAGACUGUAGAAAUGGGUGGUUGUUUUAGCAAGAAGUAUACCCAACAAGAUGCUAAUGGGCAUAGGGCAGGAAGAAGAGUUAAUCAAGCAUAUCAAAAACCACCACAACCCCAGCCAGAAAGGCCAUAUCAGCCUCAGCCCCAGCAGGAAAGGCCAUAUCAGCCACCGCCACAGCCAGCAUAUCAGCCACCGCCACAGCCAAAGCCACAACCUCAGCCCCACCCUGUUCCUGUUACUGUGCAGUCUGGACAGCCCCAAGACCAAAUGCAAGGACCCCAUAUGAAUAACAUAUUGGGAAAGCCUUUUGAGGAAAUUAGAAAGCUCUAUACACUUGGGAAAGAAUUGGGUAGGGGUCAGUUUGGAGUGACUUACUAUUGUACUGAGAACUCAACUGGGAACCCUUAUGCUUGCAAGUCCAUACUUAAGAGGAAGCUUGUAAGCAAGAAUGAUAGGGAGGAUAUGAAGAGGGAAAUUCAGAUUAUGCAGCAUUUGAGUGGGCAGCCAAACAUUGUGGAAUUCAAGGGUGCUUAUGAAGAUAGGCAGUCAGUACACCUUGUGAUGGAACUUUGUGCUGGAGGAGAGUUGUUUGACAGGAUUAUCGCCCGUGGAUAUUACUCAGAGAAGGAUGCUGCUGAGAUUAUUAGACAGAUUGUAAAUGUUGUUAACAUUUGCCAUUUCAUGGGUGUCAUGCAUAGGGAUCUCAAGCCAGAGAAUUUCUUACUGACUAGUAAGGAUGAAAAUGCUAUGUUGAAGGCAAC